rfam:Schistosoma haematobium scaffold278_4, whole genome shotgun sequence.
AUCCAUCUGAUGAAUCCAAAUUAGGACGAAAUGCGCGUCCUAGAU